rnacentral:rRNA from 1 species
GGCGUGGUUAAGACAUGCAAGUCGAACGAGAUUGUUUAAUUUGACGCUUCGGUUGAUUUUUAAACAUGAGAGUGGCAAACGGGUGCGUAACACGUGAACAACCUACCGUAAAGUUUGGGAUAGCUCGAGGAAACUCGAAUUAAUACCGGAUGUGGUUAAGAAACUCAUGUUUCUGAUACUAAAGCUUGUAAUGGCGCUUUAUGAGGGGUUCGCGGCCUAUCA